GUGGGGAAUAUUGGACAAUGGGCGCAAGCCUGAUCCAGCAAUGCCGCGUGGGUGAAGAAGGUCUUCGGAUCGUAAAGCCCUUUCGACAGGGACGAUGAUGACGGUACCUGUAGAAGAAGCCCCGGCUAACUUCGUGCCAGCAGCCGCGGUAAUACGACGGGGGCUAGCGUUACUCGGAAUUACUGGGCGUAAAGGGCGCGUAGGCGGCUCUGUUAGUCAGGCGUGAAAUUCCUGGGCUUAACCUGGGGACUGCGCUUGAUACUGCAGGGCUUGAGGCCGAGAGAGGGUGGUGGAAUUCCCAGUGUAGAGGUGAAAUUCGUAGAUAUUGGGAAGAACACCGGUGGCGAAGGCGACCACCUGGCUCGGUUCUGACGCUGAGGCGCGACAGCGUGGGGAGCAAACAGGAUUAGAAACCCGGGUAGUCC
rnacentral:rRNA from 1 species